UACGUAGGGGGCAAGCGUUGUCCGGAUUUAUUGGGCGUAAAGAGCGUGUAGGCGGUUUGGUAGGUCCGUUGUGAAAACUCGAGGCUCAACCUCGAGACGCCGAUGGAAACCAUCAGACUAGAGUCCGGAAGAGGAGAGUGGAAUUCCUGGUGUAGCGGCGAAAUGCGCAGAUAUCAGGAAGAACACCCGUGGCUAAGGCGGCUCGCUGGGACGUGACUGACGCUGAGACGCGAAAGCGUGGGGAGCAAACAGG
rnacentral:rRNA from 1 species